GACCUUUCCUUCUGGGGAACCUCAUGGCCUUCACUGGCUGUGGGGGGAACCAGGACUUUUACUGUGAAAAAAUUAGAGUGUUCAAAGCAGGCCUUUGCUCGAAUACAUUAGCAUGGAAUAAUAGAAUAGGACGUGCGGUUCUAUUUUGUUGGUUUCUAGGACCGCCGUAAUGAUUAAUAGGGAUAGUCGGGGGCGUCAGUAUUCAGCUGUCAGAGGUGAAAUUCUUGGAUUUGCUGAAGACUAACUACUGCGAAAGCAUUCGCCAAGGAUGUUUUCAUUAAUCAGGGAACGAAAGUUAGGGGAUCGAAGACGAUCAGAUACCGUCGUAGUCUUAACCAUAAACUAUGCCGACUAGGGAUCGGGCGGUGUUUCUAUAAUGACCCGCUCGGCACCUUACGAGAAAUCAAAGUUUUUGGGUUCUGGGGGGAGUAUGGUCGCAAGGCUGAAACUUAAAGAAAUGGACGGAAGGGCACCACAAGGCGUGGAGCCUGCGGCUUAU
rnacentral:rRNA from 1 species